rnacentral:rRNA from 1 species
AUUGAACGCUGGCGGCAGGCUUAACACAUGCAAGUCGAGCGGGGGAAGGUAGCUUGCUACCGGACCUAGCGGCGGACGGGUGAGUAAUGCUUAGGAAUCUGCCUAUUAGUGGGGGACAACAUCUCGAAAGGGAUGCUAAUACCGCAUACGUCCUACGGGAGAAAGCAGGGGAUCUUCGGACCUUGCGCUAAUAGAUGAGCAUAAGUCGGAUUAGCUAGUUGGUGGGGUAAAGGCCUACCAAGGCGACGAUCUGUAGCGGGUCUGAGAGGAUGAUCCGCCACACUGGGACUGAGACACGGCCCAGCCUCCUACGGGAGGCAGCAGUGGGGAAUAUUGGACAAUGGGGGGAGCCCUGAUCCAGCCAUGCCGCGUGUGUGAAGAAGGCCUUAUGGUUGUAAAGCACUUUAAGCGAGGAGGAGGCUACUUUAGUUAAUACCUAGAGAUAGUGGACGUUACUCGCAGAAUAAGCACCGGCUAACUCUGUGCCAGCCGCCGCCGUAA